GGGGGAAGGUAGGGGGUGGUGGUGCAAAAGGGAGCGGGGGUCAACUGUCCUCCCUGUACCAAAAGAGGCCAACGUCAUGACAGUAGCGUUCCACAUAAUUUUUAGAAAGUGAAACUUUAGAAAAUACAAAACAAAAUAAAGAAUAAACAAACCGCGACCAACAAUACUAUACAUAAACAAUAUCCCAUAACCCCCAAGUGAAAAACAAGCUACUUAAGUAUUAUCCCAAAUUAGAGACAACGAUUACCAGCUGCCUCUAAUUGGGAAUCAUACCAAUCACCCAAACUUAGAAAAACUAAAUUAGAACCCCACAUAGAAUAUAACAACUAGAAAAAAAACCUGUCACGCCCUGACCUACUCUACCAUAGAAAAUAAAAGCUUUCUAUGGUCAGGACAUGACACAGAGUCAGAGUGCUGGUAAGUCUCAUGUCUACUGAUUUGAGCUAAAAUAUGGUGUAGAUUUUAGUUUCUCAGAAAUCUACAGGAAGUGAUGCAACACUUGAGGUUUUGGUCUCCUCCUUUAUCACACAUUUAUUUUCUGUCUGUCUGUCUGCCUUCUAGCCUGUCUGUUUGUCUUCCUGCCUUACUGAGAAACCAACUGAUCGAAUGAACGUUGUAAUUAAUGCUAUAAUUCAUGUUAUCUAUAAUAUAUACAGUACUCUGUAAAGUAUCUCCUCCUGUCUGUGGUCAGGUCUGAUGGUAUCUAUGAUAUAUACAGUACUCUGUAAAGUCUCUCCUCCUGUCUGUGGU
rnacentral:lncRNA from 1 species